rnacentral:rRNA from 1 species
UACGUAGGUGGCAAGCGUUGUCCGGAAUUACUGGGUGUAAAGGGAGCGCAGGCGGGAAGCCAAGUCAGCUGUGAAAACUACGGGCUUAACUUGUAGACUGCAGUUGAAACUGGUUUUCUUGAGUGAAGUAGAGGUUGGCGGAAUUCCGAGUGUAGCGGUGAAAUGCGUAGAUAUUCGGAGGAACACCAGUGGCGAAGGCGGCCUACUGGACGGUGACUGACGCUGAGGCUCGAAAGCGUGGGGAGCAAACAGG